rnacentral:rRNA from 1 species
AGAGUUUGAUCCUGGCUCAGGACGAACGCUGGCGGCGUGCUUAACACAUGCAAGUGGUGCGACGAACCAGACUUCGGUCUGGGGCAAAGCCGCGAACGGGUGAGUAACACGUGAGUAAUCUGCCCCGAUGACCGGGACAACCCGAGGAAACUCGGGCUAAUACCGGAUGAUGAGCCUUGGCGUAAGCCUUGUCUCUAAAGGAAGCUUCGGCCUCCGCAUCGGGAGGAGCUCGCGGCCCAUUAGCUUGUUGGUGGGGUAAUGGCCUACCAAGGCAACGAUGGGUAGCUGGUCUGAGAGGACGAUCAGCCACACUGGAACUGAGACACGGUCCAGACUCCUACGGGAGGCAGCAGUGGGGAAUCUUGCGCAAUGCGCGAAAGCGUGACGCAGCAACGCCGCGUGGGGGAAGACGGCCUUCGGGUUGUAAACCCCUUUCAGGAGGGACGAAGGUUCACCGGUGAAUAGCCGUGUGGAUUGACGGUACCUCCACAAGAAGGUCCGGCUAACUACGUGCCAGCAGCCGCGGUAAUACGUAGGGACCAAGCGUUGUCCGGAAUCAUUGGGCGUAAAGCGCGCGUAGGUGGCUUCGUAAGUCCGUUGUGAAAGUCAAAGGCUCAACCUUUGAAAGCCGAUGGAUACUGCGGAGCUAGAGUACGGAAGAGGCGAGUGGAAUUCCUGGUGUAGCGGUGGAAUGCGCAGAUAUCAGGAGGAACACCAAUAGCGAAGGCAGCUCGCUGGGACGUUACUGACACUGAGGCGCGAAAGCGUGGGGAGCGAACAGGAUUAGAUACCCCUGUAGUCC